ensembl:ncRNA B0280.21 ncRNA
GCCUCUACAGUAGUUGUUCUCCUAGCCCCGCCCAGUCUCUAUGCAAUGCAGAGUGGUGUGCGAAACCCGCGAGUUGUCCGCUGGUGCAAGGAGUCAUGUGCGCCUUAUUCGUUUACAGCUUUGGUUUUAACCCAUAUAACCAAGCAACUAGAAUAGCAUCAUGAGCAAAUGCAGCAGCAGUUGGAAUACUGUCAGUGUUCGAGAAUCCUCCACGAUAUACAUCAUGGAAUUCUGCACGUGUUUUUCUGUAAAAUUUCUCAUAACGUUAAGCUCUGCAAACCAACUUACAAGAACUUCUUAUUAUUUUUGUCGAAAAUUCGAAAUAUUGUGAUGUUGAUAAGCGAAAAAUGGAACCCAGAUAAAUCAGUCUCAUCAA